GGGUGCGUAACGCGUAUGCAACCUACCCUAUUACAUAGGGAUAGCCUCUGGAAACGGAGAUUAAUACCUAAUGGUAUCUAGAUAUUGCAUGAUAUUAAGAUUAAAGAUUUAUCGGUAAUAGAUGGGCAUGCGUGACAUUAGCUAGUUGGUAAGGUAACGGCUUACCAAGGCGACGAUGUCUAGGGGAUCUGAGAGGACUACCCCCCACACUGGUACUGAGACACGGACCAGACUCCUACGGGAGGCAGCAGUGAGGAAUAAUGGUCAAUGGAGGCAACUCUGAACCAGCCAUGCCGCGUGCAGGAUGACUGCCCUAUGGGUUGUAAACUGCUUUUAUACGGGGAGAAAAUUGUCUACGUGUAGAUAACUGACGGUACCGUAAGAAUAAGCACCGGCUAACUCCGUGCCAGCAGCCGCGGUAAUACGGAGGGUCAAGCGUUAUCCGGAUUAUUGGGUUAAAGGGUCCGUAGGCGGGCUUAUAAGUCAGAGGUGAAAUCCCAUCGCUCAACGAUGGAACUGCCUUUGAUACUGUAGGUCUUGAAUAUAUUUGAAGUAGGCGGAAUAUGUAGUGUAGCGGUGAAAUGCAUAGAUAUUACAUAGAACACCAAUUGCGAAGGCAGCUUACUAAGAUAUUAUUGACGCUGAUGGACGAAAGCGUGGGUAGCGAAC
rnacentral:rRNA from 1 species